AUAAAUUUGUAGCAUAUAUACUGCUGAACUUAUAGCAAUUUGGAAGGGCAUUACUUGGUUAACAUCAAAUAAUUUACGAGAUGGAGUAAUACUAACUGAUUCUAAGUCUGCAUUGGAGUCAAUAAAAAGCAUAAAAUUUGAAAGAAUGAAAUGUCCUAUAUUAUGCAAUUUAAAAAAUUUGAUAGCAGAUUUAAAUAUAACAUUUGUAUGGGUCAACGGUCAUAGAGGUAUACUAGGUAAUGAAAAAGCUGAUAGUUUGGCUAAGGAAGGAGUACUUAACGGAGUUCUUUGUAAUAUUUAUACAUUACCAGACGCCUUUCAUUUGAUAAAAAAUAAAAUAAGAUUAAAAUGGGAACGACAGUGGGAAAAUACUGUAGAAAACUCACAAAAUACCUACUUUAAAAUACAUCCUACCCUACCAUCCCCACCUCUAUAUAUUUUCAACUACCCUACUUCAAAAUUCUUUUCGGCAAGUGUUUUUCGACUUAAAACAAAUCAUGGGCGAUUUCCAUCGCACCUUGCUAAGCUGGGCAUUAUACAGUCCUCGGCCUGUAGUUGUGAUCAGAACUCUUACGGAGAUCUAAAUCAUAUAUUUUUCGGUUGCAAAAAACAUUUAAAAAAAUCCAAUGAUUUAAUUCGUACACUUAUUGAAAUGAUAUAUUUUCUUCCAUUAAAUCUCACACACAUUUUGUUAGCUGCCAAUAAAAACACCUUGGAACUUUUAGUAAAUUUUAUUAAAGAAAAUAAAAUACAAAUUUAAAACGGCAUAACCCACAUCUCUGUAGUUAUACUAUAAGAAAAUUCCUUUUACAACUUUCUGUGGCAAAUGGACUUGAUUCCAUGCCAUUAUCUUUCCACACACACAUAAAAUGUUAUAAAUU
rnacentral:lncRNA from 1 species